rnacentral:rRNA from 1 species
AUUGAACGCUGGCGGCAGGCCUAACACAUGCAAGUCGAACGAGUGGCGGACGGGUGAGUAAUGUCUGGGACACUGCCUGAUGGAGGGGGAUAACUAAUGGAAACGGUAGAUAAUACCGCAUACAAUCGGACGUGCCCAGAUGGGAGUAGCUCGUGGGUGGGGUAACGGCUAACCUAGGCGGCGAGCCCUAGCUGGGCUGAGAGGAUGACCAGCCACCCUGGAACUGAGACACGGUCCAGACUCCUACGGGAGGCAUCAGUGGGGAGUAUAGCACAAAUGGGGCAAGCCUGAUGCAGCCAUGCCGCGUGUAUGAAGAAGGCCGUCGGGUUGUAAAGUACUGUCAGCGUGGGGGCGGUACCCGCAGAAGAAGCACCGGCUAACUCCGUGACAGCAGCCGCGGUAAUUC